rnacentral:rRNA from 1 species
UACGAAGGGGGCUAGCGUUGUUCGGAUUUACUGGGCGUAAAGCGCACGUAGGCGGAUCGUUAAGUCAGGGGUGAAAUCCUGGAGCUCAACUCCAGAACUGCCUUUGAUACUGGCGAUCUCGAGUCGAAGAGGUGGAGUGGAACUCCUAGUGUAGAGGUGGAAUUCGUAGAUAUUAGGAAGAACACCAGUGGCGAAGGCGGCUCACUGGUCCGGAACUGACGCUGAGGAGCGAAAGCGUGGGGAGCGAACAGG